rnacentral:rRNA from 1 species
UACGUUCCCGGGCCUUGUACACACCGCCCGUCACACCACGAAAGUGGGUAACACCCGAAGCCGGUGGUCCAACCCUUGUGGAGGGAGCCGUCGAAGGUGGGAUCCGCGAUUGGGGUG